rnacentral:misc_RNA from 1 species
GGAAGUAAAAGUCGUAACAAGAUUUCCGUAGGUGAACCUGCGGAAGGAUCAUUAAAGUUAUAGUCCCCCGGCCCUCUGGGCUGGGGUCUUCUAUACCACCCUCUGUUUAUUACACCUUUGUUGCUUUGGCAGGCCUGCCCUCGGGCUGCUGGCUCCGGCCGGCUCGCGUCUGCCAGAGGACCUAAACUCUGUUUGUAUAUGAAGUCUGAGUACUAUAUAAUAGUUAAAACUUUCAACAACGGAUCUCUUGGUUCUG